GACAGUCAGGCUCUGUUUUACUUAAUAAGUACAAAGAAAUUUUAAUAUUUCAGUUUCGACCCGGUUUGGUCACCGAAAGCUGUACCGAACUGUAAUCUUUAUCAGAUAGCUGUCGGAUUUUAUUUUUCACCUUCCGGGUGUCAGAAUGAUAUGAAACUUUAAAUCUAGCCUCAUAAAAUAAUUCUGACUUAUCCUCCAGUUUUCAUAAUUUUCUGACACUGUACAUUUUCUGCUAAUUUAUCUGUCCCGUUUUUAACAGAAAAUUCUAAAUCUUCUAUUUUCAUUCCGAUUUCAGCACAAGUCACUUCUGACUUAUGUUUUACUUCUCUAAAUCCAAUAAAAAUAGUAUCUCAUACUAUUUUUAUUUAUUUUUAUUUUUACAUCAAAAUCCGGUAUGUUACAGAA
rnacentral:lncRNA from 1 species